rnacentral:rRNA from 1 species
UACGGGGGGGGCAAGCGUUGUUCGGAAUUACUGGGCGUAAAGGGCGCGUAGGCGGCCUGCUAAGUCGGAUGUGAAAUCCCUCGGCUCAACCGAGGAACUGCAUCCGAUACUGGCGGGCUUGAAUCCGGGAGAGGGAUGUGGAAUUCCAGGUGUAGCGGUGAAAUGCGUAGAUAUCUGGAGGAACACCGGUGGCGAAGGCGGCAUCCUGGACCGGUAUUGACGCUGAGACGCGAAAGCGUGGGGAGCAA